CAAGCCUGUCGUUACAGUAAAAAUGAACAUAAUAACCAUGGGUAUCUGAGUUGCUCGUUGGCGACCAAAUCUGGAAGAGAAAAGGUGUGCCGGAGUCUGAGCAGAUCCCUACCAGCUGCAAAUCGUCCCAUAAAUCAAGACCUCUACAUUUACUCAUCCCUGCCACCUCCACUCUGCCAGAUCGUAAUCUCUGCUCAUUACCGCUCUGUCUUUGGUUCCUGUCUCCUGUUCCACAUCUCACCACCAACCACCUUCCUCUGGAUAUCACCACCAUUACCUUGGAUUCCCCUCAGGGCCUGUUCCCCUGUUCUACUCAGCCAACUCAAAUCUCACUCUACACUCCUGGUUUUGCAACUCAUCUGAGCUACCCUGGUUCUGCCUCCCAUUUUCUCUGUGAUCAAUAAACCUUUUUGUGCAUUCAUCCCG